AAGCACCGGUUACUCAAAGUUUAAGAAUUUUUAAUUUUUUUCUAUUCUACUAUUGUAAUGUUUAAAACAUCAUUUUCUCAGUUUGAAUAUUGUAAUUAUGUGAAAAAUUGAUUGCUUAUUUUAAGAAAAUUGUUUAUUUCAUCGUUGCAAUGUUAUCUAAUUACUGACAAUUGUGAGUAAUCUAAUGGCGCAACAAAAAGUGAAACCUGUAAUGGUUUUCAUGCAUGCUCUCCAUAGUCAACACUUUGAUACAUAAGUUCAGGUUUUUAAAUUAACACUACUCGUCGAUCAGUUAUUUAUUUGUAGUGGACUACAUGCUGAAACUUAGUGAUUUUUACAUUGACGGAAAAGAUAUCUAUAUAUCUAACAAAUUAUUUAUUCCUAUGCUUGAGUAUGGUCCGGUUUGUGUGCAUGAACAUUUGGUCAGAUACGUAUUUUAUGUAAUAUCAAUAGUAGUGGAUUGAGCCUAAUUGUGUGGUCCUCAUUUGUGGUAACGAACUGGUCUUCGCAACAUUGGGAGCUACUUCAACAGAGGGUUUUCGCUUAGGUUCAAA